CCUACGGGGGGCAGCAGUGGGGAAUAUUGGACAAUGGGGGGAACCCUGAUCCAGCCAUGCCGCGUGUGUGAAGAAGGCCCUCGGGUUGUAAAGCACUUUCAGUGAGGAAGAACGCCUGGUGGUUAAUACCCAUCAGGAAAGACAUCACUCACAGAAGAAGCACCGGCUAACUCCGUGCCAGCAGCCGCGGUAAUACGGAGGGUGCGAGCGUUAAUCGGAAUUACUGGGCGUAAAGCGCGCGUAGGUGGCUUGAUAAGCCGGUUGUGAAAGCCCCGGGCUCAACCUGGGAACGGCAUCCGGAACUGUCAAGCUAGAGUGCAGGAGAGGACGGUAGAAUUCCCGGUGUAGCGGUGAAAUGCGUAGAGAUCGGGAGGAAUACCAGUGGCGAAGGCGGCCUUCUGGACUGACACUGACACUGAGGUGCGAAAGCGUGGGUAGCAAACAGGAUUAGAUACCCCUGUAGUC
rnacentral:rRNA from 1 species